rnacentral:lncRNA from 1 species
CAGCCCUAAUUUGUUGACUUUUGUGUCAAUUGUAGCAGAUAAUUCUUGAUUUUCUUUGUUUCCAGGGGUUUUUUUGCUGUGCUCUCAAAGACUAUGGCUGGCUGGCCUGCAGACUGGGAGCUGCCUCUGCAUUGUCCUCCCUGGGCAACCCUGGAUCCCUGCAGACUGCAGAGCUGCUGGAAGGCUCGAUGGGAUGGGAUGGUACUUGAAUCAUGCUGUCUCUCUUGCAGCUACAAAAUACUGUUACCACAGACUCAGAAGAGAUGCAGAGGAGAUCAGCCCAGGUCAAGGUCACACAAUUCCUGUGAUGUGAAUUCCCAUGCAGUCAAGAGGAUCCCACGAAACAGUGUGCUGGGAACAUACUCCACGACACAUACCAUGACAUAAGGGAAAAAGUAUCUUAUCCUUCCUUUCAGAAUCCAGUCUGAGAAGUGAUCAAAGAACUUAAAAAUAUCUCAUUAUGUUAUGUACAAUGUACUCAGUAAGUGUCUUGAUAAAGGUUUGGUCUAUUCCUGUGCUCUCCAUAAUGACUAGGAAAGUACAAUUUCUUCAAGCUUUGUAGAAGGGAUUUUGAAAAUUGAGUUUUCUAACUCAGAAACUCUGUCCACAGGAAGUGAAACUUAUUUUGAAUCAAAAAAUAACCAUUAAAUCAUUUCAAUGCAAUCAGCUCAGUCUUCAUAACCCAUUGUUUAAUGUAGA